AGGAAGUAUUCAAUAAAGGUUUAUAUGUUAAGGGAAUAAACUGUUCAGGUGUAAUCAUUUCUAAAAUGUUAUGAGUUCCGUGGUGUCUGGCUUAUAGAAAGUGGCAUUUAAAAGGUUGUGAUGUGAAGACCUACACCUUCCCAAAACAUCAUGGAUGCAGCGAGCAAGCAAUAUCUGGUACCUUCAUGUUCUAUGUGUCCUGGGGACGCAGAAUACUUCUGUGCAUCUUGCUCGUGUGACCUUUGUCUCAAUUGUAGGGACAACCAUGUAAACAAUCUGAAAACAAUAGAUCAUAAUGUGGUAAUUCGUAAAAAAUAUAACUUUAUGCCGAUACAAGAGUUAUGUAUUACACAUCCAGGAAAGGCUUACAAAAAAUACUGUGAACGUUGUGAACUGCCCGUAUGUAACCGUUGCAGAAAACAGAGAAAUCACAGACAGGUUGUUCUAAAAAAAGCAUAUAAAAGCAAAGUUAAACAAUAUAAGGCAGUCAUUCAUACAAUCAGAUGUGAUACCCUUUUUUCAAGAUAUGUUCUCCAGGGAAGAAUCAAAGCUGAAGUCAAAACUGUCCAAACAUGCUUCUCCCUCUGUCAGUCAGAGCUGUCUGCAAAGGCCGAGACAUUGAAGAAUAUCGUUAAGUAUGUGCUAUUUGAUCUAUUGAACAAUGUGUUCUGUGACUUUGAUUUCAAACACAGAUGUUUAAAACAGAAAUUUGAACUGAGCAGACGUCUUGCCAGAAUACAAAGAUAUGAAUACAGAUAUGAACAGUCAGCAACCUGCUCAGUGAUAACCGGAUUAUGGAAGAAGAUCGUAAUUCCGAAGAUAUGUCAAACAAGCAAAGCAAACACAAGCAAACUCUCUGUGACUGAUUUACUACACAAGACGGGUGUGAUUGAUACACUGUGCAAAAUCGAAAUAGGGGGAGGAAAAAGGUAUAUGGGAAAUGCGUGUUUGCUAAAACUGAUGCCUAGUCCCGAGUUACAUCAAACUAUUACACUGAAAAACGCAGAUGGAUGUAAGCACAUCACAUUUAUGACAUCAGAUCAAAUUUGGGUCAGUGAUAAAAACAACAAUAUUAUGUUGACAAAUAAAACAGGUGUCAGUGACAGAAAAAACAAUAUCACGUUGACAGCUACUAGUAGUGACACAAUGCAAAGACAGAAAAACUUUUUAAGUAAUUUCUAUAAAGGUUUUGGAUUACAUAUAGUUAAUAGAGAGGGUGAGUUUGUUUAUAUUGAUAGGGAGAAUAACAUCAAUAAACUGGCAAGAAAUUUAAAAACAAUUACUACUUUUAUAAAGUUAACAGAUAAAAUACAAUUACCUCAGUGUGUAUAUUGCUCCCCUUUAACUGGGGAUCUUCUGGUCGCAGCGUUUAUAGUGAAUACAAGGUCUUUUUUGCCAUCAAGCGUUGUAAAGCGGUACAAUCAGAGCGGACAACUCACACAAACCAUACAGCACGACAGCAAAGGGAUGAAUUUAUUUAGAAAACCUUGUAUAACAGAAAACAACAAUGGUAAUAUUGUUGUAUCUGACUUGACAUCAGUAGUGGUGACAGAGGCUGGAGGCAGCCAUCGUUUUUCCUACACAGGAAUUUCAUCAGGAUUAGAACUAUGGCCAAUUGGAACCUGUACGGAAUCGCAACCGCGAUCCAUACACGAUAUUCUUGUGCCUAUUGGAAUAUGUACAGACGCACUGUCACACAUUCUGGUGUGUGAUGAAACCACCAACACGGUCCAGAUUAUAAACAGUGACGGUCAAUUCCUGUCCUAUCUUCUUAUAAGACCAUCAGGGAUAUUUUUUCCACGGAGCCUGAGCUAUGAUGUCAACACUCACCGUCUCUGGGUCGGAUCACCGUGGUUCAAAAAUAUGUGUUGCUUCAGAUAUAUGACCCGACAAACCGUACAAACCGGUGUAUUUACUGGUCUACGAUCACUAAUGAUCUAUUAGUUGGGAUGUGUGGAGAAAAAACAUGGACAUGCAAAGUUAACCGAUACAACCGGACCGGGCAACUGACACAAUCAAUACAACACGACAAUACAGGGCUUGAUCUAUACUGUAUGCCUAAUUACAUAACAGAAAACAAUAAUAGAGAUGUAGUGGUGUCUGACUCCAACCUGGCGGGUGCCGUAGUGGUAACAGAUUAUAAAGGAAGGCAUCGUUUCACCUACGCAAAACAUCCGCGAAAAUUUUUUCCUGUUGGAAUCUGUACUGACGCGAUGUCACACAUCCUGGUGUGUGAAGGUGUUACUAGAUCAAUAAAUACAUUAAAUAAAGACGGCCAGUUCUUGUCCCAUCUUGGAAUAAAACUUUCUAUCUUUGACAACCCAUCCAGCCUCAGUUAUGAUUUUAACAGGAAUUGUAUUUGGGUUGGAUUUAGGAACAGUCAUUCAUGUACGGUGUUCGCUUACAGAUAUAUUCAUCAACAGACCGGAAACAAGGAGGAACCGGUUUAUAAAAAAGCAGGUCAUUAUGGACUACAGUAAAUCAUAUACAAAAGCAAGAAGUUUUUUUGACAAAAAAUUUUCCUCUGAGCGAAAACAAGUAAUUAAAGAUUUAGAAGCCCUAAAAUCGGAUAUUGAACAAGAAGAAAAAACCCGGAAUAUUGGGUCUUCAGUGUAUUCAGGAGUCGGUAUUAUUGGAUGGGGUUUAAUCGUGGCAGGGGUUUUGGCAGCCCCGAUUACUGGGGGCGUUUCUACUUCUUUGAUAGUGGCAGGUCUUGCAUCUAAGGGUGCCUCCAGUGGAGCAUCUGUUCUUCAUCAGGGAAUAAAACAGAGUAUUGUACAAAGUAAGAUGGAUAGCCUACGAAAGAGAUUAAUAGAGCAUGAGAAAACUUGUAAAGAAAUGAAUAAUCAUUUAUUAGAGAUGGUAGACAGAAUGAAAUUUUUUUUUUAUCACACUGACCCGGACCAGGAAAUGAAUUAUUUACUUAAGCAGUUCGAAGUCCUACUUGAACAUUCUGACAAAAUGAAAAAAUUCAAAGCAAGGACCGGUGAAAUUUACGUACUGAUAACACUGCAAAACUUAUUAGAGGAUGUUCCUUUCGGAGUACCAAGGGAUGAAGACAAAUUCGCAGCUGUCACUUUCGUUGUCGAUCUAAAGUCUUUGUUAGAAGAUCCAAAGAGUAAGGCGGAUUUAAAAGGAAGCAGCGAGUGCAAAGAGGAAUGGUUAAUAGAAAAAGUUCGCCAACGAUACCAGGAAGAACACGAUGAUAUCAAAAAGGUUUUCCAUUCUCCUAACUUCGACUAAAAGAGCAGAUUUUCUGACAAUAAAACAAUUGCUAAAUUUAAAUGGUUUCAUUUAAAUGGUUUCAAAUGUGUAAAGUUUUAAAUGCAAUAAAGUUUCUGACAAAUUAUAUCAUAUAUUUAUGACUUAAAUGCAUCGUGAAGUUUUCUACCUUAUAUCAUGAGUAUAUAUUAAGAAAACAGGCGAGUCCGGUGUCUCAUUUUUGGUCGAUAUAUUUUUAAUACAAACUCAUAACUCUUCGUUCGCCACUUUCAUAUGACCAUUCUAUGAAAAUUUAGUGCUUACGUUAAGUAAUGAAAA